rnacentral:hammerhead_ribozyme from 1 species
GCACUGCUGAUGAGUCCCACAACAGGACGAAACGGCCGUCGAGUGC